GACGAACGCUGGCGGCGUGCUUAACACAUGCAAGUCGAGCGAGUGGCGGACGGGUGAGUAACGUCUGGGAAACUGCCCGAUGGAGGGGGAUAACUACUGGAAACGGUAGCUAAUACCGCAUACCAUCGGAUGUGCCCAGAUGGGAUUAGCUAGUAGGUGGGGUAACGGCUCACCUAGGCGACGAUCCCUAGCUGGUCUGAGAGGAUGACCGGCCACACUGGAACUGAGACACGGUCCAGACUCCUACGGGAGGCAGCAGUGGUGAAUAUUGCACAAUGGGGGCAGGCCUAAUACAGCCAUGCGGCGUGUAGGAAGAAGGCCUGCGGGUUUUAAAGUACUUUCAGCGAGGAGGCGUUACUCGCAGAAGAAGCACCGGCUAACUCCGUGCCAGCAGCCGCGGUAAUUC
rnacentral:rRNA from 1 species